UACGUAGGGUGCGAGCGUUAAUCGGAAUUACUGGGCGUAAAGCGUGCGCAGGCGGUCUGUUAAGACCGAUGUGAAAUCCCCGGGCUUAACCUGGGAACUGCAUUGGUGACUGGCAGGCUUUGAGUGUGGCAGAGGGAGGUAGAAUUCCACGUGUAGCAGUGAAAUGCGUAGAGAUGUGGAGGAAUACCGAUGGCGAAGGCAGCCCCCUGGGAUAACACUGACGCUCAUGCACGAAAGCGUGAGGAGCAAACAGG
rnacentral:rRNA from 1 species